UUUAUAGACGCAAAUCUGCUAACUAAUACUAUCAAUUAAUUUAACUAACUGAUUCUCUCUCUAAAUCUCUCUCUAAAAUUUCUCUCUAUGGAGAUACACACUGCCAGGUAUGCCAAAAUGCCCAUGGAGCCGCCAACGAACCUUUUCCAACCACCAAAUCAAUCCCAAUUGGAGUGCAAUGAGAUUCCGAAAAAAAUCCAUCUUGAAUCGUCCACUAAUUCAUCCCACAAAUCUUUGAAAUUACAAAAGAGAGUAGCGAUCCUUGUAGCAAUUUCACAAGAAGAUUUGGAAUGGGUUCGAAAAAUUAUUUCUCUUCAAAAAUCUGGAAUGAUUUAUAUUUCUACACUGAUGGAGAAUGAUCACUGAUCACAAGAACUACUUGCCAUAAAAAAAUCACCUCAAGCCACUGUCCUAAUCGAGAAUCAGAUCCUGUGAUUCUUGAAGGAAUCACGAUUGAAUCCCCUCACUUGAGCCAUGAAAUUCAAACCAUUUCUGGCGAGAUUCAUCAAGAAACAACCACUGGGAUCAUUCCUUGCAUCAUAGUGCUCCUGUCAAGAUAUAUUCAGGAAAGUUUAAUGAUAAUAGUGACUGACGACAAGUCUACCGAAGAUGGAGAUAAGAUUCUGGUGAGUUAUUCUGACCAAAACCAAUGCCAAAGGAGCAAGGGAAUAAAAUACAACUCCAUAAGACAAAAGCCCCUUCUUGUUUGAGUCAGAACACGAAUUUUGGAAUUAGGGUUCCAACAAAACAAAAUUCCUAAAAUUUAGGUGAGCAAUUCUGGAUAAUUAAAUCCAAAAUUCUCAAAUUAAGAUCAUUCAACAGGUUGAAAGGAAGGAGUGAAACCAAAAAGCCCCAAUAGACGAGGCUCGAAGAUCAUUGAAUUUCUCUUUUAGGAUAAACAAUCCUGCUCAAGUGUCUGGAAACGGAUUUUUAAUACAUAAUUUUGCAAGCUCUCAAUUCCUUGUGGAUCCUGAUGCUAGGAUUGAUCAUAUCAACACAGAGGAUCAUAUUUUUGAGAAACAAAAUGAAAACUUUAUAUUAUGUAGUCUUACUUUGGCCUUAACAGAUGGGACUAAGGAAAGAAAUGAUUACAAUACUCAACAUGAAAUUGCAAAGAAGGUGAUCAAUAAGCAAUCCAAGUCUAAUGAGUAGCAGGUUCAAGUUGGUAGCUCUAGCACCAAAGACAGGUAAUAGGAACAUCAAAAGGAAAGUAACAGUCAGCAACAAGAACAUCAAAAGGAUUAGCGACACACACAAAAAAGAAGAAAUUUUAGAUGUCACAAUCAAAAUUCUCAAAGGAAUGAAGAGCUCAACAAAAUAAAGUCUACAGAAGAACAAUGAUAAUUAUCUGCAAAAUCAAGGUGAAAUGCAGAUAGAUAAGACCAAUAAAAAUAUUUCUAUUUAUAAUGCUUUUGUUGAUCUUGUUAAUCAGGAUCAACAUACUAUCUCAAUGGUGAAGUUGUUAAUAUGGGGACUAAUGGGAUGGUCCACAAAGCUACAAAACAACAGAGCAAAGAGGAAAUGAACCUUCAAAAAACCUCAGGGUUUACCAUAUAUAUUAAUAGUAGAGUCAGACAGUUGCAAAGAGAGGAGCACGAUAAUACUAGUGGAGUAGUGCUGACUGCGGCUCCAGGUGAGUAAUUAAUUUCUUUAGUUAAUAGAUUUUCUAUAAUCUAAUGGUACAAGUAUGGUUGGUUAUGGUUUAAUAAGAUUGUCCCUAUUAGUUUUAUGAGAAUGUGGGUAGGCUGCAACAAAUCAUGGAAAAGUAAAUAAGUAGAUAUUUUUAAUUAAGUAACAAUAAUGUUAAAGGAAUUUAUGAACAGUAGUUAGUAAGGUUGCAGGUUGUAGGUUAGGCAAAGUCUUUAUUGAAAUUGUAUUUGGGUAGUGUUUAGCCUUACACAGUGAAGUAGUACAUGCAUUAGUACGUAGCCUGUAAACCAAGAAGUUAUUGUUUCAACAAUGUAACGUUUAUAAUAUUAGUUAUUUUGCCAAUCUAAUUAGGCGUAUUACUGAAAAAAGAAAAAUUAUGCUUGACAAAGUAAUAAUGAAUUAAUUAUUAGAUUAUAAUGAAGGAUGGGUGAAGUUUAGUGUUAUAUAUAUAAACUCCAAGGCAAACACCCAUAAGGAAAUACUUCACAUAUUCUCUAAUCCACUAUCAACAUAACUCCCACGCGCUACCCCAAGAACAUAUACACACAAAUUUCCACUAAUCAUCACAUUUAUCAAAGACUUGGCCCCAGAUCCUAGUUCACACUUAUGGCCUUGUCCAAAACAAGCAUACUAUUAUCUUUCAUUGACAAGAAACAUUUACUCAUCACCACCAUCUUCACAUAUGGAGGAGUCACUAAUAGGUUAGAACAUAAGACCUUGAAAUAUGAGAGGAUAUUAUAUAAGACUUGACACUUAACUGAGGUCGAAGGAAUAGCAAAUCAAUAUCAGGGAUUCAUCAAAGUGAUCUGAAUUAGGGCAUACAUGACUAUAAGCAUAAUCUCGUUAAUCAUUAAGAGUAUAGCAUGAAUUAUGGGAACUGAUCACACUAUAAAGAGUGAGUACAUGAGUCAUGAGCUGCAUGACCUCAAUUUGAAGUUCAUAACAUAUGGAAUGUGAUUCCGACUAUUGAAUGAAAUGGAACUCCUCAUUUUAGAACUGGAAGAGAACGUUAUUCUCUCUCAUAUACAUGGACAUGAACUAUGAUCAUGGAACUAAAACAUAAUCCAUGAGUAAGUAUUAGGAUAACUAAAAAAUACGAAGAUAAGAAUGGGUUGAGCCUUACGCUCACUUCCUGAUGUCCUAUAUCAUACUAACAUCUCUACUAGAAUUUGAGAGCCUGUCUGGAUCACUUGUUUUAUGAUCUCCCCCUUAGCUUUAAGAUAUUAUCUUAAGUUUGAGAGAUCCCUUACUAGACUCUAAACUGAACUACACUCACUGCACUCUGGGGUAUGGAAUACGAUAAUAUACACAAUUAAUAUAACUUAACCCCAAUGGAUACACCUAGAAGUGGAAAACCCACUGUUAAUACCACCUUCUGAGACACGCUCUAUCAUUCUAUAGACCUAAUAGUCAUCACAUAAAACUGGAACACUUACUUUGGAUCUUCAUAAGUAUCUCUAUAGUUGGAGUGUACACCCUAUAGCAUUUUAUCUCUUAUUUCUUUUAGUUCAACCUUAAAAAAUUUAAACUUAGAUUAUAACAUUUAACAUGGAUAUCACCAAGCCUCUGAUGAACUAUACUACUUCCGUCAUAGCAAAUCAAUAUCGCGACUCCGACUUAUAUCUCUCCAUCAUGAAAAUUCAAGAUCAUAUCAAAAGGCCCAACACUAUCAAUUAGAACUCCUUAACUUGGCUAUUUAGAACACCAUAUACCAUCUAGCAACUCAACGGUACUACUAGCCACACACAACAUGUA